GAAAGUAAAAAAGGGCGCAUGGCGGAUGCCUUGGCUCUCGGAGGCGAUGAAGGACGUGAUAAGCUGCGAUAAGCUUUGGGGAGGUGCAAAUGACCUUUGAUCCAGAGAUUUCCGAAUGGGACAACCCAAUAUCUUGAAGAGGUAUUAUCUUACUAUGUAAGAGGCUAACGCAGGGAACUGAAACAUCUUAGUACCUGCAGGAAAAGAAAAUAAACAAUGAUUCCCCCAGUAGUGGCGAGCGAACGGGGAACAGCCCAAACCAUCCAUGUUACGGCAUGGGUGGGGUUGUAGGACUACGCCGUUGCAUGAAGACAUCAGAGAAGAACUUUCUGGAAAGAAAGACCAUAGAGCAUGACAGUUGCGUAUUCGAAUGUUGUCGAAGCAUAGUAGUAUCCUGAGUAGCGCGGAGCACGAGGAAUUCUGCGUGAAUCUGCCGGGACCAUCCGGUAAGGCUAAAUACUCCCGAGAGACCGAUAGCGAACCAGUACCGUGAGGGAAAGGUGAAAAGCACUUCGAACAGAAGAGUGAAAUAGUUCCUGAAACCGUGCGCCUACAAGCGGUCGGAGCUCGUUAAUGAGUGACGGCGUGCCUUUUGCAUAAUGAACCUACGAGUUGCCUUUGCCGGCAAGGUUAAGUGUGACGACACACGUAUCCGAAGCGAAAGCGAGUCUGAAGAGGGCGUAUAGUCGGCAGUGGCAGACGCGAAACCAAGUGAUCUACCCUUGGCCAGGUUGAAGGCUGGGUAACACCAGCUGGAGGACCGCACCAAUAAGCGUUGAAAAGCUUCUGGAUGAGCUGAGGGUAGGGGUGAAAGGCUAAUCAAACUUGGAGAUAGCUCGUACUCCCCGAAAUGCAUUUAGGUGCAGCCUUGCGGGUUACUGAUGUGAGGUAGAGCGACUGAUAAGAUGCGAGGGCUUCACCGCCUAUCAAGUCUUGACAAACUCCGAAUGCGCAUCAGUUCUACCGCAGGAGUGAGGGCAUGGGUGCUAAGGUCCGUGCCCGAGAGGAGAAGAAUCCGGACCACCUGCUAAGGUCCCGAAAUGACAGCUAAGUUAAACUAACGAAGUCUGACUGCUAAGACAGCUAGGAUGUUGGCUUGGAAGCAGCCAUUCAUUUAAAGAGUGCGUAACAGCUCACUAGUCGAGGAGUCGGGCGUGGAUAAUAAUCGGGUAUCAAGUUGUCUACCGAAGCAGUGGGAUCAUUUAUAUGAUCGGUAGGGGAGCAUUCCAGUCAGCGUCGAAGGCGUACCGUGAGGUAUUCUGGAGCGUCUGGAAAAGCAAAUGUAGGUAUAAGUAACGAUAAAGGGGGCGGGAAACCCCCUCGCCGAAAGACUAAGGUUUCCUGAUCAACGCUAAUCGGAUCAGGGUCAGUCGGGUCCUAAGGCUCAGCCGAACGGCGAUGCCGAUGGCAGAAACGGUUAAUAUUCCGUUACUACCUUCAGGAGUGACGUGGAGACGCAGUAGUGACAGUGCCGCCAUCUGACGGAAUAGAUGGUUGAAGGGUGUAGGAGUCGAUCAUGGCAGGCAAAUCCACCAUGAGAUCCGAACCUGAUAGUAUGCCGCGUCCUUCGGGACAAGGCAAUAGUGCGCGUAAGCAUGCUGCCGAGAAAAUCCGCUAAACUUAAUCCUGUAGGUACCCGUACCGCAAACGGACACACGUAGUCGGGAUGAAUAUUCUAAGGCGCUUGAGUGAUUCACGGUUAAGGAACUAGGCAAACUGACCCUGUAACUUCGGGAUAAAGGGUCCCUACCCUUUUAUGGGAGGGCGCAGAGAAUCGGUCCAGGCAACUGUUUAACAAAAACACAGGGCUGUGCAAAAUUGAAAGAUGAAGUAUACAGCCUGACACCUGCCCGGUGCUGGAAGGUUAAGAGGAGAUGUCAUCGCAAGAGAAGCAUUGAAUUGAAGCCCCAGUAAACGGCGGCCGUAACUAUAACGGUCCUAAGGUAGCGAAAUUCCUUGUCGGGU
rnacentral:rRNA from 1 species